rnacentral:misc_RNA from 1 species
GGACGAAGAUAGUAGUAUCCUUGAGAUAUUACGAAUCUACGGUUGGGCAAACCUUAAGUCCUUUGUCGCUUCGCUUUCGCUGUUGAAUAACAAGCUAUCUUGACAGAAGAUAAGACUAAUCAAGUAAAUCAAAAGCACUAAUUGUGCUUUUGAAUUGCGAAAAGCUGAUUAAAAUAUAAAAAAUGUGAGUAACAUUCGAUAACCUAUCGAAUGUGCUACAAUUAAACUGAUUUUAAACAGCGCUUGAGAAUUUGAUAUUCAAUCGCAGUUUUUUUGUGAAUUUAUUCAUGAGAAGACAGUCGAUUGAAUAUCUAAGUACAUUAACCAUUUUUGGUAAAAGAUACUUAUAUCUCUAGUUUAUAACUAGAGAAGCAAAACU